rnacentral:lncRNA from 1 species
AUGAAAAGCAAUUAAUUUAUAAGUAGUCAGUUUGGGAUUGCAUCCUCUUUUACCAUGGGAUGUGGAUUUGGAGCAGUUCUCGUGUGUGUGUGUGUGUGUGUGUGUGUGUGUGUGUGUGUGUGUGUGUGUGUGUGUGUGUGUGUGUAUGAGAGAGAGAGAGAGAGAGAGCACAGUCUGUGAGCUUGAGCUUUGAAUAGAGGCAGAUUUCAAAGGGAUCUUAUCUGCCAGUUUGUCUGUGUGAAACUACAUGCCAAACAUCUCCUGAAUGUGCAAUUGCAUUUUCCUGCAGUGCUAUCAUCAGUGACACUGGAACUCUUGCAGUGGAAUGUGACCGGUUGUGGUUUCUCCAAACAUGACACUCCAUCUUGUUACACAUCCACAAAAGCACUUCCGCUUAUGAGACAAACCAGGCUAAAGUACUGCAAAGUGGCUAAUGGAGAAGAUGCAUUACAUUCUGUCCUUUCUGAAGGGUGUCAUUUUUCAUUCAGGUGCCCCAGCGACGGUCAACAAAAUGACAGACCUGAAUUUAAAACGUCUUCCCUGAAGUCCCUGCCAGAGAA